UUCAAAGAACUUUGAAGAGAGAGUUCAAGAGGACGUGAAACUGCUUGGAAGGAAACGGGUAGAGUUACUGAUAGUGUCAGUAAAUCAGGCGCCUGUACUGGUGCUCGCCGCUGAUGCAUUGUGUGAAAACGCGUGUUCAUCAGUGGCUGUGAGUAUUGUAUUUAGGUGCUGCACUUUAUUGACAUGCGCGCGCCGAGUGCACAUGGGCCGUCUCGUGUUUUGUGCUAAUGUUAGACGGGGGUUCGCGUGCCGUUCCUACCAGCAUUGGCGGUAAUGAGCUUGAGUGACGUCUGUGUGUGUUUGUUUCAAUGAUGCCGGCAGUGUGCGACUGUGUCGCAUUUGGUCAGUGGCAAUGACGGUGACGAGCGUUAAUACGCAAAUUGUCGUAAUGCGCUGCUGCCGAUGCGCUUUCAAACUGUCGUUGGUGUCAUAGCUCGGUGUACAAGGUGAUCGCCUACCCGACCCGUCUUGAAACACGGAUCGCGGAGUUUUUAUUGUACGCAAGUCAUUGAGUUUAUUUUUACGCGACACUCAAAGGCGAAAUGAAAGUGAAGCCAGCUAGCUGGUUGACACACCAUCCGUCGGCUAUGUGCCGGCGGCGCAGUGUGGCCCUGUCCAAACCGCUUGCAGAUGGGCAGAGGUAGAGCGUACAGUGAGAGACCCGAAAGAUGGUGAACUAUGCCCGAUUAGAACGAAGUCAGAGGAAACUCUGAUGGAGGUUCGAAGGAGUUCUAACGUGCAAAUUGAUUCUCUAAAUUGGGUAUAGGGGCGAAAGACUAAUCGAACCGUCUAGUA
rnacentral:rRNA from 1 species